AUGCAGCUGAUCCAGGCACGUAUCUCCGAGAUGCUGCGCAGAUCUCCCAAUUCAAAAGAGGUUCUUGCCCACAUUCAGGUCAUGUAGAGUUGCCUCCAGAUUUGCUAAAUGUCCUGGGACUUCAAGAAUAUCAAGCAGGAUGUUGAAGUAUCCGGUAUCAGCAUAACCCUGGGCGUUUCUACACAUCCUGAGCUUUCUGUAGCCGUCAGAUGAUUCUAUGACUGGGAGGUGCAAGACCUUCUUGCCAAGAAAGAAGCACUGAACAAAGUCCAGAAUUACUUCUUCCUGGAAAGUGUAGUCAGGUCACUCAGAGAUGUGCCUGGAGGAAGAAC
rnacentral:lncRNA from 1 species